GAGCUGGGUUUAGAACGUCGUGAGACAGUUCGGUCCCUAUCUGCCGUGGGCGCUGGAGAACUGAGGGGGGCUGCUCCUAGUACGAGAGGACCGGAGUGGACGCAUCACUGGUGUUCGGGUUGUCAUGCCAAUGGCACUGCCCGGUAGCUAAAUGCGGAAGAGAUAAGUGCUGAAAGCAUCUAAGCACGAAACUUGCCCCGAGAUGAGUUCUCCCUGACUCCCUGAGAGUCCUGAAGGAACGUUGAAGACGACGACGUUGAUAGGCCGGGUGUGUAAGCGCAGCGAUGCGUUGAGCUAACCGGUACUAAUGAACCGUGAGGCUUAACCUUACAACGCCGAAG
rnacentral:rRNA from 1 species